rnacentral:misc_RNA from 1 species
UAUAGGGAGACCCACUUUUCAGUGAACAAUCAACAGUUAACAGUCAGCAAAAAGUAACUGGUAAUUAUUGAUAAGUGAUAACUGAAAAGACAUCCCGAGGUCGGUCGAGGAAAAGUAAUUGGCUUUCAAACUAUACAUUGGUUCGAGAAAAAUUGCACAAGCGAACAACAAAAUACCGUUGUAAUUGGGCAAACAGUCAAAUCGAUGGUUAGACUCAAAAACAGUGAGUGCAAAUGUAUUGUGAAAAAGCAAUACCAGACUCCAGAAAUUGCUCCAGCAAUCUUGCUUCAACCAGUAAGACUGCUGGAUGAUAUCCAGCCAGAACCUUGAAAACUGCAUAGUAACGCGAAGCAGGUAGACACAGACAUUCUAUGAUUGCAUAAAUGAAAGUGUUUGCUUUUGAUAGAUAUCACCAAUUGUGAAGU